GAGACAGUAGCUCAGUUGGCAGAGCGCGAGACGAUUAAAGUCCCGAAGUCGAUGGUUCGAGUCCAUCCUGUUUCUC
rnacentral:tRNA from 1 species